rnacentral:rRNA from 1 species
UACUCCUACGGGAGGCAGCAGCAAGGAAUCUUGGGCAAUGGGCGAAAGCCUGACCCAGCAACGCCGCGUGAGGGAUGAAGGCUUUCGGGUUGUAAACCUCUUUUCAUAGGGAAGAAUAAUGACGGUACCUGUGGAAUAAGC